rnacentral:rRNA from 1 species
GGGAAGUUGACCUGCAGCAGACGACCCGUGAACAUGUAACCACAACGGGGUGACCGUGAUAAGGGCCUCGGUCCUUAUCCCCUAACCCUUCCCGACGUGAGUUCGUGGUGUCUUUUUUGGGGCAUCAUGGAUUCCGUUGGACCAUAACAAAACCCCGGCACGGUAUGUGCCAAGGAAAACAAAAAUGAGAAGGACACUACCUGUUUCGCCCCGUUUGCGGUGUGCGUACAGGUCGUGGCCUCCUUGGAAUCACAAACGACUCUCGGCAACGGAUAUCUCGGCUCACGCAUCGAUGAAGAACGUAGCAAAAUGCGAUACUUGGUGUGAAUUGCAGAAUCCCGUGAACCAUCGAGUUUUUGAACGCAAGUUGCGCCCGAAGCCAUCCGGCUGAGGGCACGCCUGCCUGGGCGUCACGCAUCGCGUCGCUCCCCACCAUACCUCCCCAACGGGUUGGCAUGGUGUUGGGGGCGGAUAAUGGCCUCCCGUGCUUGUGUUUCGGUUGGCCUAAAUAAGAGUUCCCUUCGGCGGACACACGACUAGUGGUGGUUGAAUAGACCCUCGUCUUUUGUUGCGUGUCGUGAGCUGUAAGGGUAGCCCUCAUCAAAGACCCCAUUGUAUCGUCUUCGGAUGAUGCUUCGACCGCGACCCCAGGUCAGGCGGGACUACCCGCUGAGUUUAAGCAUAUCAAAAGCCGGGAGGAAAA